rnacentral:rRNA from 1 species
UACGGGGGGGGCAAGCGUUGUUCGGAAUUACUGGGCGUAAAGGGCUCGUAGGCGGCCAACUAAGUCAGACGUGAAAUCCCUCGGCUUAACCGGGGAACUGCGUCUGAUACUGGAUGGCUGGAGAUUGGGAGAGGGAUGCGGAAUUCCAGGUGUAGCGGUGAAAUGCGUAGAUAUCUGGAGGAACACCGGUGGCGAAGGCGGCAUCCUGGACCGAGAUUGACGCUGAUGCGCGAAAGCCAGGGGAGCAAACGGG